GCCGAGGUAUCCAAGCUUGGUAUGGAGCGGGUUUGCUAAACCCGUGCAGUAAUGCUCGAGGGUUCAAGUCCCUCCCUCGGCG
rnacentral:tRNA from 1 species